rnacentral:lncRNA from 10 species
CACGACGGCCGCGUGCCCGGAGCGCCGGGGUCUUUCCUGGGCUCCAAAGUCAAGAGCUCACGUUCCGGGAGGAUCUGUCCGCGGAAAUUCGGUUCUGAGCGUCGCCGGACUCCGCCGCGGGGAGAUUGAGGUUCAGAGAAGUCAGAAGCCUUCCCAAGGCUGCACAGCCAGAAGUGGGCACAGCGUCCUGGGGUGAGGGCUCACACCAUCUGCGCCACCUGCCCUCCAGGUCCCACCAUCCUCACAAAUUCAAGGCAAGGUUCUGGAACCCCCAGCCCUCCAGAAAGGGGAAGCUGAGCCCAGGAAGCACAUCUGAGAGUUCGGGUCCGUGAGUUUACCCUGCGCUCACGC